rnacentral:lncRNA from 1 species
ACCACAGUCCUUCUGAUUUCAAGUUACCUCCACCUGUGUGACCUACCAGGUGUAGGACUGCAUCCUCCCCAAAGGCCUAAUUCAUUUCACCUGUGGCAAUCCAUAAAUAAAGGCACUUGUUUGUGCCUAUUGGGCUCUUUCUCUGUAGGCUGCAGCUUAGGCCUUGUUUCCUUAGUGCUGCUGAGGGAGCACGGCUGCAGCCAUUUAUGUGGGUACUGCUCUUUUGACUUCAGCUUCACUCAUGGAAAUGGCACUGAACGUGCCUAAAGGAUGGGAGGACAGACCCUGUCAUGCUGCUGCCACUCGUGUUGCUUUCACUGUGCUCACCCCUUCUGUCUUCAUGUCACCUUGUGCCAUGUCUUUGUGUCACAAGUACGUCACCAUGAUCUGCAAAGGGGUAGAGGCUGGGUUAGAUGCCUUAAGUACUCAAAGGACCAGGAAGUAGUUGAGAACAGCAUGAAGCACUUGGUGAGCUGCGGAAAAGAUCCCAGCCCAUGAGAAAUGGGAAAGCAGAGCUUGAACAACAGCUCCUGCUCUGCAAACAGUUUCUAACUGGUCCCUUGGACUUGAACUGUUAGGAGUAGAGUUAAGGCUAUACAGACAGUUGAGUAUCAGAAAGCAGAAUGAGGAAGCGUUAGGACUACUUUAUGUAUUUUAGGAGAAAGUACAAAUCCUAGCUAUGAAACUCCUUUUUCAUAAGUAGUAUAAAAUAAUGUGCUACUUUAGAAAUGUGACCCCCUUUCUGGAGCUAAGUUAUCUGCAGGUAUCAACUCAUUUACUGUGGUGAAGAAGCACCAACCUUGCUAGUGACCUGUCAGAGCUUGCUAUUAUUUCAAAGCGUUUGCCUGCUGAAAAUCAAGAAGAACACUAUCCUGCUAGUUCCUCUGGCAUCUUAAAGAUUUCAGUUGUAUCCCUCUUUAACCUUCCUUUUCUCCAGUGUGUACAGUGGGUUUUUUAUCUUAAGUUGAAAGAGUUAGUCCCUACUGAAGUUCAAUAAGGCUCAUUUUUCUUCAAAGCUUACGAAACUCUUCUCUUUUUCAUUAAUAAAUUGAUUUUUGUUAAUGCA